rnacentral:lncRNA from 1 species
GAGAUGGGCUAAAAAUAAAGAAUGCCAGAUUCUCUCAGAUCUUCUAAGAGACUAUUCCUUCAGCAACUUGGAGUUGGCCUCUCACAUCUUCCCUCUUGAUGUUUGAAUCCAGGAGUACCUGACUCCACAUGUGAAGACUGAAAGAUUAGAGCUCUCCUACUCUUAACAAUUCCUGACUGCAUCCCAUACAGAAAAGGACAUUCAUCUACAACAGAAUUCCGUAUCAAUGGGCUUGAGGACUGGGGUUGUAUUUAUAUAACUAGAAAUCAAUUUAUUUAACACCUUGGAACAGCUUUUUGAGCUUCACCAUCUCUCUUCCUCACCAGAAGGUGCCUCAUCUGCCUUUAUCCUUUCAUUCAACAUAACCAUCCUCUUGUUAAUGGUGUCCACAGAUUGGUUUAUUUCACAGAGCUUAUGCUGCAUGGUGUUGUUGAGAAAUUACAAAGGAUGGAAAGUCAUGCCAUAAAAUGGAGAAUAACAAAAGAAACUUAACAGAUGCUGGAUUUGGAAUCAGAAAAAACAACAACAACAACAACUAGGUUUGAUUC